rnacentral:rRNA from 1 species
GAGUGGCGGACGGGUGAGUAACGCGUGGGUAACCUGCCUCAUACAGGGGGAUAACAGUUAGAAAUAACUGCUAAUACCGCAUAAGCGCACAGUGCUGCAUAGCACAGUGUGAAAAACUCCGGUGGUAUGAGAUGGACCCGCGUCUGAUUAGCUGGUUGGUGGGGUAACGGCCUACCAAGGCGACGAUCAGUAGCCGGCCUGAGAGGGUGAACGGCCACAUUGGGACUGAGACACGGCCCAAACUCCUACGGGAGGCAGCAGUGGGGAAUAUUGCACAAUGGGGGAAACCCUGAUGCAGCGACGCCGCGUGAGCGAAGAAGUAUUUCGGUAUGUAAAGCUCUAUCAGCAGGGAAGAAAAUGACGGUACCUGACUAAGAAGCACCGGCUAAAUACGUGCCAGCAGCCGCGGUAAUACGUAUGGUGCAAGCGUUAUCCGGAUUUACUGGGUGUAAAGGGAGCGUAGACGGUUGUGUAAGUCUGAUGUGAAAGCCCGGGGCUCAACCCCGGGACUGCAUUGGAAACUAUGUAACUAGAGUGUCGGAGAGGUAAGCGGAAUUCCUAGUGUAGCGGUGAAAUGCGUAGAUAUUAGGAGGAACA